UACGGGGGGAGCAAGCGUUGUUCGGAUUUACUGGGCGUAAAGGGCGCGUAGGCGGUCAGCACAAGUCAGUUGUGAAAUCUCCGGGCUUAACUCGGAAAGGUCAACUGAUACUGUGCGACUAGAGUGCAGAAGGGGCAACUGGAAUUCUCGGUGUAGCGGUGAAAUGCGUAGAUAUCAAGAGGAACACCUGCGGCGAAGGCGGGUUGCUGGGCUGACACUGACGCUGAAGCGCGAAAGCCAGGGGAGCGAACGGG
rnacentral:rRNA from 1 species